UGGGGUGUAGCCAAGUGGAAAGGCAACGGACUUUGACUCCGAUAUUCGUAGGUUCGAUUCCUACCACUCCAG
rnacentral:tRNA from 1 species